GUGAACGCUGGCGGUAGGCCUAACACAUGCAAGUCGAACGGCAGCACAGUAAGAGCUUGCUCUUACGGGUGGCGAGUGGCGGACGGGUGAGGAAUACAUCGGAAUCUACUUUUUCGCGGGGGAUAACGUAGGGAAACUUACGCUAAUACCGCAUACGACCUACGGGUGAAAGCAGGGGAUCUUCGGACCUUGCGCGAUUGAAUGAGCCGAUGUCGGAUUAGCUAGUUGGCGGGGUAAAGGCCCACCAAGGCGACGAUCCGUAGCUGGUCUGAGAGGAUGAUCAGCCACACUGGAACUGAGACACGGUCCAGACUCCUACGGGAGGCAGCAGUGGGGAAUAUUGGACAAUGGGCGCAAGCCUGAUCCAGCCAUACCGCGUGGGUGAAGAAGGCCUUCGGGUUGUAAAGCCCUUUUGUUGGGAAAGAAAAGCAGCAGGUUAAUACCCCGCUGUUCUGACGGUACCCAAAGAAUAAGCACCGGCUAACUUCG
rnacentral:rRNA from 1 species